AAGAACUUCUUCGGAGGGUAUGCUUAAAGAGGGGCUUGCGCCACAUUAGUUAGUUGGUGAGGUAAAGGCUUACCAAGAUUAUGAUGUGUAGCUGGACUGAGAGGUUGAACAGCCACAUUGGGACUGAGACACGGCCCAAACUCCUACGGGAGGCAGCAGUAGGGAAUUUUCGGCAAUGGAGGAAACUCUGACCGAGCGACGCCGCGUGAACGAUGAAGUAUUUCGGUAUGUAAAGUUCUUUUAUUGAAGAAGAAAAAAUAGUGGAAAAACUAUCUUGACGUUAUUCAAUGAAUAAGCCCCGGCUAACUAUGUGCCAGCAGCCGCGGUAAGACAUAGGGGGCGAGCGUUAUCCGGAAUUAUUGGGCGUAAAGGGUGCGUAGGCGGUUAGAUAAGUCUAUAAUUUAAUUUCAGUGCUUAACGCUGUCUUGUUAUAGAAACUGUCUUGACUAGAGUGAGAUAGAGGCAAGCGGAAUUCCAUGUGUAGCGGUAAAAUGUGUAAAUAUAUGGAGGAACACCAGAAGCGUAGGCGGCUUGCUGGGUCUUUACUGACGCUGAGGCACGAAAGCGUGGGGAGCAAACAGGAUUAGAUACCCUGGUAGUCCACGCUGUAAACGAUGAGUACUAAGUGUCGGGGGUAACCUCGGUACUGAAGUUAACACAUUAAGUACUCCGCCUGAGUAGUACGUACGCAAGUAUGAAACUUAAAGGAAUUGACGGGACUCCGCACAAGCGGUGGAUCAUGUUGUUUAAUUCGAAGAUACACGAAAAACCUUACCAGGUCUUGACAUACUCUGCAAAGCUAUAGAAAUAUAGUGGAGGUUAUCAGGGAUACAGGUGGUGCAUGGUUGUCGUCAGUUCGUGUCGUGAGAUGUUAGGUUAAGUCCUAAAACGAACGCAACCCCUGUCGCUAGUUGCCAGCACGUAAUGGUGGGGACUUUAGCGAGACUGCCAAUUAAAAAUUGGAGGAAGGUGGGGAUAACGUCAAAUCAUCAUGCCCCUUAUGAUCUGGGCUACAAACGUGAUACAAUGGCUAUUACAAAGAGUAGCUGAAACGCGAGUUUUUAGCCAAUCUCAAAAAGGUAGUCUCAGUACGGAUUGAAGUCUGCAACUCGACUUCAUGAAGCUGGAAUCGCUAGUAAUCGCGAAUCAG
rnacentral:rRNA from 1 species